rnacentral:lncRNA from 1 species
AUGCCUAGAUCCAGCGGUGUGAGAUUUCGAAUCUGUUCCCCAGCCACCAUGGAGGAACGGAGGGGGAGAUUCCGGAACUUAACCACCCUUCAUCAAAAGGGAAGCGAGGUGGGUGGCCUGGCGCAAGUGUUUUGGACUUUGGCAGUCGGGUUAGGUUACAAUGAUGCAGCACUAAAAGAUUUGUUUAAUAAUUGCCUGGAUGAUCCUUUACCUCAAUGGGAGAUGAAGGGGUUAGAGAUCCUGGACUUUUGGGGGUUUACCAAAUACCUGCACCAUCGUGCUCAGUGGGAUGCAACAACCACACCUGAGUUUCCAGACAAGACUGCCACCUGCCCAGCGCCACAGCACAAGAUGGCCACCAGCCUAGCACCACAGCACAGGAUGGUCGCCAGCCCACAGCCACAGCUUAAGAUGGACGACUCAACGCCUGAGUCUCCAGACAAGGUGCCGCCGACUCGCCAUCGUGGAGGACGGAGGAGGAGGAGACAGGCGUCGACCGUCCCUCAAGGCCUGGAGAAAGUCCCAGAGGCCGAUGCAGUUCCCGAGGCGGAGCCCGAUGCCGAGGUGGUGCCCGAUGCCGAGGUGGUGCCCGAUGCCGAGGCGGUGCCCGAUGCUGUUCCAGAGGCCGAUGCAGAGGCGGUGCCCGAUGCUGUUCCAGAGGCCGACGCGGUGCCCGAGGCGGAGCCCGAGGCUGUUCCCGAGGCGGAGCCCGAGGCUGUUCCCAAUGCCGAGGCGGUGCCCGAGGUGGUGCCCAACGCCGAGGCGGUGCCCGAUGCUGUUCCAGAGGCCGAUGCUGUUCCCGAGGCCGAGGCGGAGCCCGAUGCUGUUCCAGAGGCCGAGGCGGUGCCCGAUGCCGAGGCGGUGCCCGAUGCCGAGGCGGUGCCCGAUGCCGAGGCGGUGCCCGAUGCCGAGGCGGUGCCCGAUGCCGAGGCGGUGCCCGUUCCCGAGGCGGAGCCCAAUGCUGUUCCCGAGGCGGUGCCCGAGGCUGUUCCAGAGGCCGAUGCCCGAGGCUGUUCCAGAGGCCGAUGCCGAGGCGGUGCCCGAUGCUUUUCCGGAGGCCGAGACCGAAGUGGUGGCCGAGGCGGUGCCCGAUGCUGUUCCGGAGGCCGAGGCGGUGCCCAAGGCCGAGGCGGUGUCCGAUGCUUUUCCGGAGGCCGAGGCGGGGCCCGAAACCGUUCCCGAUGCGGUGCCGGAGGCCGUUCCCGAUGCAGUGCCCGAGACCGCUUCGCCCUGGGGGACUCCGACAGUGACCAUGAGGACGUGGUGGUCAUCCGCUCCGCCCUGGGAGACUCCUACGGUGACCAUGAGGACGUGGUGGUCAUCCGCUCCGCCCUGGGGGACUCCGGCGGUGACCAAGAGGACGUGGUGGUCAUCCGCUCCGCCCUGGGGGACUUCCACCCUCCUGGACUCCUUGUUUUGUGUUACACCUUCCUGUCUCUGCCUUUCCAUCACGUCUGGUUGUUCCGUCUCUUUUCUUCCAUUUUACCUGGUUGUCCUGUCUUUGUCUCUCCUUUUCACCUGGUUGUUUGUCUCUGUUUUCUGACCCUCCGUCCCUCCCCCUAG